GAGUUUGAUCGUGGCUCAGGAUGAACGCUGGCGGCGUGCCUAACACAUGCAAGUCGAACGAAGCACUUAUGACGAUUCCUUCGGGAUGAAGCGUUUGUGACUUAGUGGCGGACGGGUGAGUAACGCGUGGGUAACCUGCCUUAUACAGGGGGAUAACAGUUAGAAAUGACUGCUAAUACCGCAUAAGCGCACAGUCUCGCAUGGGACAGUGUGAAAAACUAGGUGGUAUAAGAUGGACCCCGCGUCUGAUUAGCUAGUUGGUGGGUAAAGGCCUACCAAGGCGACGAUCAGUAGCCGACCUGAGAGGGUGAUCGGCCACAU
rnacentral:rRNA from 1 species